rnacentral:lncRNA from 1 species
AGUCAUUCAGUAAAACACCAUGUCAAAGGGAUUUGCUUCACCCCAAAACUUUCAUAGCAUUUUUAUUAUCUAUGGUGGUCUAUCUAUAGAAAAUAUUGGUUUGGGACUCUGAAAAACAAUUCAAUCCCCCUCCCCAGAUAUGACAUUCUAUUGUGUACUUUAUGGAGAUCAGAUCUUAUGUUUCGACAAAAAAUGUAUAUAAACUAAAUAAAAGAUGAUUUGAAUAUGGUUAAAAAAGAUCCAAAUGUAGCCUUUUCUCCUGCAAUAUGUGUUCAUGGCGUACACCAGGCUGCAUGUUAACCGUGCAUGGUGCUUGAUCGAAGCUCAGCAAAAAUGGAACAAUGAAGCAACGCUGGCUAUAUGUUAGCCUAAUCAUCUCCCAAGCUUAAUGCCCUUUAAGAUUGGUGUUUCAGUGGUUUGACUCGGAGCCGCCCGAGUCGAACCAGGACCAACAGGUCCCGGUCCGAUUUUAUCUGGACUCAGCAAUGUAGGCCU